CUCCUAAUCAACCCACCCAUUAAAUAGACAGGCACAAUAGCACCAUCUGCUGGCACAAAAAAUACAUAACAAUAAACUGCAAAACCCCAAUCUGGCUCCUACAAAGUGUAUGUGACAAGAUGAUUAACGUUUGCUUUUGUUAAAUCAGGGCUUCCCCAGCCAGGACUUCGGCUCAGACUGUGGCAUAUUCAUGUUGAUGGUAGGUCAUAACGAGCUGUAAUGCACAAAUAUUGUAUCUAGAAUAACUUUCCAACAUGGACUUUUUUAAAGUUAUCUCACAUGUUGUCUCAUAAUUUUUUUUUUUAAGUCUGCCAUGUACAUCGUUAUGGAGUCACAGUUUGACUACUCAGUUGUAAGUACUUUUCAACACGCAGUGUCAUCCUCAAGAUUGUAUUUUGUAUUGUGCACUAAAAUGAAAUACAAACAACAAUUUCAGCAUGACAUGCCUGUUUGGCGGCGAUGGUGGUGCCUGUUGCUCCUGGAGAACAAUUCUUUGAACAGGUAGACAGUUUAAGUAAACUAGAUGUCCUAAUUAACUGGAAGACAAUCAAUAUAUUGUACUCAAAGACAUAUUGUCAUUACAGUUGUGGGAAAAUCUUCGCCCACUGGACCAAAGAAUGUCAAGAGCUCAUUGCUGGAAAGCAUACUCCGGUCUUCAGUCUAAAGAGGAAGGCAGAGCAGCAGGACAUAGAGGUUAGAAAAUUGCCUUGUAAAAACAGUAUUAUCUCAGUGGGAGUCCUUCAAAAUGCACACAGUUGUAUGGAUCAACAUCGUCUCGAUGUAUUUGGUAAUUGAUGUUACUUUUCAAAUUGCCUUGUCAAGGAAACCAUGACGCAGACGGUAUCGGAUGUCCAAAGAAUGUGCAUGGCAGAUUCAAUGCAAUUCUGUGUCUACCAGACAUCGAACAACACAGGAGAGAGGUGUGUUGCAGACUCAAUUUAAUAAAUGCAAUUAUCGGGGCCUAUUCAGUGAUUUUCCAUGAAGUGACCACUUUUACAUAUAGUUUAAAUGCACGAAUCAUGCAGGAGAAUUAUUUAUACAUUCAAAUGUGCUGCAGAGGUAUAAUCAAUUGGACAGCGUGUUUGUUUAAUAUUAUGUUUGUCUCUCAUUUGAUCAGAUUGCUUUACCCUGAGGUAAACGUCAUAAAAUGGGUCCAGUGCAAGACGUGCAGGGGCUGGCUGCAUCAGGAUUGUGCUGGGAUUGAAAUGGAGCCGUUUGACUGCGGGUGCGAGG